rnacentral:rRNA from 1 species
GACGAACGCUGGCGGCGUGCUUAACACAUGCAAGUCGAGCGGUAAGGCCCUUUCGGGGGUACGACGAGCGGCGAACGGGUGAGUAACACGUGGGUGACCUGCCCUCCAGCUCUGGGAUAAGCCCGGGAAACUGGGUCUAAUACUGGAUAUGACUCCACGGUGCAUGCCGUGGGGUGGAAAGCCUUGUGCGGCUGAGGAUGGGCCCGCGGCCUAUCAGCUUGUUGGUGGGGUGAGGCCUACCAAGGCGACGACGGGUAGCCGGCCUGAGAGGGCGACCGGCCACACUGGGACUGAGACACGGCCCAGACUCCUACGGGAGGCAGCAGUGGGGAAUCUUGCGCAAUGGGCGAAAGCCUGACGCAGCGACGCCGCGUGAGGGAUGACGGCCUCGGUU